GGAAGUAAAAGUCUAACAAGGUUUUCGUAGGUGAACCUGCGGAAGGAUCAUUCAUAAUAAGUGUUUUAUGGCACUUUUUUAAAUCCAUAUCCACCUUGUGUGCAAUGUCGGGGUUGAUUGUUCACUCGAGAGGAUCAACCCCAAACAACAACUAUAUAUCUACUCUUUAUCUGAAAAAUAUUAUGAGUAAAACAAUUCAAUAUACAACUUUCAACAACGGAUCUCUUGGCUCUC
rnacentral:misc_RNA from 1 species